rnacentral:misc_RNA from 1 species
UACAGAGGGUGCGAGCGUUAAUCGGAUUUACUGGGCGUAAAGCGUGCGUAGGCGGCUUUUGCAGUCGGAUGUGACAUCCCUGAGCUUAUCUUGGGAAUUGCAUUCGAUACUGGGAAGCUAGAGUAUGGGAGAGGAUGGUAGAAUUCCAGGUGUAGAGGUGAAAUGCGUAGAGAUCUGGAGGAAUACCGGUGGCGAAGGCAGACAUCUGGCCUAAUACUGACGCUGAGGUACGAAAGCAUGGGGAGCAAACAGG